UGGAAUGCAUGUGGUUUUUCAAAGUUUAGCAAGAGUCUCUACUUGUAAAGACGUGGAUGACAGGCUGGGCUUGCUAACUGUGUUGUGAAGGGUUAGAAUAAAAUUGGGCCAUUUACACCUUUUGAAGACAAAAGGUUGGGCAGUGGAGUGGUGGCAGCUGUGGGGGUGAAAUGCUACACAGAACGUUUCUUGUUCUGAAGGAUCUAUCCAGACUUUCAAGGCCCCUCCCAAACAUAUAGGAAGUCGUGCUUAUAAGACACACACCUCCUGAUACUAUGAAUAUAACUAUAUUCUUCCAAUUUCUGCUGCUCUGAUUUCUGUCAUGGUAAUUUGAAAAUCUCAUUACAAUAAUUCUUUAUUUUAAUUGAAUGGGUUCCAUCUAUCAAAUUCAAUACUUUUGAAAACAAUCGUCAGAAACAACUCAACAAAUAUGCAGAGUCAUUGCACUGCUCUAGACUUUGAAAUGUUAAUAACAGUGAGACAUGUCCAUGACAUACAUUACCUUCUUUUUUAUUUUAUUUCUUUUUUUUGGUCUUAAGUUAGGCUACUCUGUCCACUCAGUUUUUUCUGUUUGUUUGUUGGCGCCUAAGUCUACUUGCAGGGAGCCAGUAGGUGAUAAUAAGUGACAGAAUUGUGUCUUUGUCUGCAUUCGUUACAAAGAAAGCUCUUUUCAUGCCAGACAGCAACAAGACCGGACUAGUCCAUUCAGUAGAAACUCUAUUUGCGCAUACCUACCACCAUGGUGUAAAACUGCUAUUGGUUGGUUCUCUUGGCAUUCGUGACGUACUUCCGUUAGAGUGGAUACAUUUGUCGAUGACUUGCAACGAUUGUUACACGUUGGUUACUGGAGCUGUUGAGAGCAUACAAGAGAGAAGGUAGUCGUUGUUUCGAAACACUGCAUUUCAUGGUUUAAGUUUGUUUUUAGAUUUGAACAAGUGAUUUGUAGUCGAAGUUUGUAAGCAGCAACGCUUUUACUGUACCUUAAGUAGUUUUGAAGUGAAAUGUGUAAAGACGAUAUGGAAGUAAGAGGGGAGAAAUGUAUGCUUGGUCAUUCUUCGAUAAAAGAGAUUUGUCUGAAAUCAAACAAGAACGUUUUUCGGGCAAGGUUUAAUGUGAAGACUGUUCGCAACUACCUCGGUGAAAAAAAAGGGAAUACUCAUCCAUACAAGAAGUUGGGACGACGAUUGAACGAUGGCGUGAAAAGGCAGUUAGGCCCAAAACGUGUACCCUGUCCAGACGAUUUGAAGGAUAAGGCCCAGACAACUGAAGUUUCAGGACAGAUGGCACCAAGAAAUACGACACAGUACAUCAUGGAUCGCGUGUAUGAAGAUAUGUGUGACGAUUGGUCAAAGCAGGAGAAUUCAUCGUCCGAAUCAUAUUUCACAGAGCGUUACUUUCGUUUGGACGACGGAACACACAUUCCGUUUCAUGCGCAAUCACCACAGCCAGCCUUCGAAACGACUCUAGACUUUCUACAGAGAGAUUUCGACAAUGUUGUAUUUUGGAACGAAAUCUGAGGCCCGAUGCUGACGUUCUGCCCAGUGAGCUGAACAGGCCCGACCUGGACGUGUAGGCCUUCUCGGCCAGCUGACGUUGACAGUGAGCACUGGCCAAAGACAGAAAGUGCAAUUGAUGCACCGACGCUGUCCAAACGUAAGGGGGAGCUAUCCGCUUAACCCUACAGUAACAGCUGCGCACUGGGAGCCUGAGCUGAGCUCUGCCGUGGCCACCGCCCGUGGUCUCCAGGUAAACCUGUCUUUUCGUGAGGUAUACGUGGCAUGUUCUAACAACGAUUCGUGUCCAUCUAUGGUCAUAUCUUUGUAACAGUGUGUCAACAUAGUUACCAAGGGUGUUAAAUUACUGUCUUGUUACAUGUUGCGGAGAGUUCGCUGUAGUUGCAACUGUUGUGAGAGACUUUUUCAGGUCACCCGCUUCGCCGACCCUCGGCUGAUUCACAGCAGCGCAAUCCGAGCCUCAUCAAGACCCGACAUGUUGGUAAUUCACCCUCCAUUUCCAGCGUUAUAUCGGAAGCCUGCCUUACUGUAGGCCUUUACUAUAUUGGCUACUAUGGCAGUGUGUGGAUUUAAAUAAUAAGAAUGUCAUUCUUAUUCAGACUUAAAGAUGCCGUUGAACAGACUGCAAAUGUGUGUGUUGGUUGAAUGUGUGAUGCCUACAGAGUGAUGAAUGGUAAAUAAAAAUAUAUUAUACGUUGAA